UCGAAAUACAGAGCAGGGGAGGAGAAAAACCACUCCUCCAACUAUAAUCAGAAAUUCAGCCAUUUGAGAGUGGAUUUGGGCUAAAAUCAUAUGCAUGUGAUGGGUUUCUUAAACAUCUAAGUGUCCUCUACAUAAGUAUAAGGAUCAUAUCAAGAUGGAUAGAAGCAUGGAAGGCUAACGGAUUAAAAGGAGGCAAGGUAACAGAUGCAAAUACGGACGCUAAGGUAAGUAACUUCCGGAAUCACUUCUUAUCUAUAAAUGAAGUUUCAUAUGUUGAACGUAGGACGCUAAGGUAAGUAACUUCCGGAAUCACUUCUUAUCUAUAAAUGAAGUUUCAUAUGUUGAACGUAGGAAAUCACUUCUUAUUUAUAAAUGAAGUUUGAUAUAUUGAACGUAGGAAAUCACUUAAGAAAGUAUAGGUAAUGGUAAGCACCAAGGUAGAUAUUAUUGUUAUGUGUCAAAUGUAGUUGACUAUGUCGAAAAUUUCAUGGUAGAAGCAAACGGGUCAAAAACCAGAAGUAGUGUAAUAAGAUGUUGAUUUUGAACAUUAGAGUAUGGGAUUUAUGUAAAGUUUAGCUUGUAAGAAUGUUGGGAGUCUUGUAGGAAUGUUCUAGAACGUUACAGAACGUUAUGGGUCAGUUCAGGUUGGAACGGGGCUUGGAAACGAGUGUUACAAGCCAAAACAAAGGAAAACAGCGUCAGCACCACAGAGGGGGCAUUGCCGACGCGGCCUGUGGCGUCGCCGACGCUGCUCCGUUGUCCGACGAGCUGAUUUGCUGCCUACGCCAAUUUCUAGCGACGCGAAGAUGCAAGGGGCGUCGCCGAUGCGGCCUGGGCUGUCGUCGAAGCCGCCUGUUGGCCUGGAUCGCCUUUUUUGUUUAUUUUUCACACCACAAGUCCCGUACCCCCUAAAACCUAUUACGUGGCCCCACUAGAACCCCGAAAAGUGAUAAAAGCUUACAGGAGGAUAGUUAUAUGCAUGAAUGAGUAUGAUAAUCGAAUGCAAAAAAAUUAAUCAAGGUUUGUAUGUGUGUUGUAUAUAUGUAAUCAUAGUGAACGUAAGUAACGUGAACUGAUAUGUGAGAUUAUGUGUUACUAAUCGUGUUCCGUUGUGGAAGAAGUGUAAUGCAGAUAUGAGAACGUUGAGCUUUCGAGGAAUUGGUGUCGAAUUUGGAGCAAGUGGAUUCGAGAGGAUAAUCGAAUGAAAUAGAAUUAUGUAGCUAGAAUGCUAUACAGUCUUUAAGUAUAUGUAUUUCAUUUGUAUGAUGUUAUCAUUUACUAACGGGUUGAUUGUA